GUCGACGAUGACCCGCUUGCGGGGGAUUAGUGGCGAACGGGUGAGUAACACGUGAGUAACCUGCCCUUAACUCUGGGAUAAGCCUUGGAAACGGGGUCUAAUACUGGAUAUUGACUUUACCUCGCAUGGGGUUUUGUUGAAAGAUUUAUUGGUUUUGGAUGGACUCGCGGCCUAUCAGCUUGUUGGUGAGGUAAUGGCUCACCAAGGCGACGACGGGUAGCCGGCCUGAGAGGGUGACCGGCCACACUGGGACUGAGACACGGCCCAGACUCCUACGGGAGGCAGCAGUGGGGAAUAUUGCACAAUGGGCGAAAGCCUGAUGCAGCGACGCCGCGUGAGGGAUGACGGCCUUCGGGUUGUAAACCUCUUUCAGUAGGGAACAAGGCCAGCAUUUUUGUUGGUUGAGGGUACUUGCAGAAGAAGCGCCGGCUAACUACGUGCCAGCAGCCGCGGUAAUACGUAGGGCGCAAGCGUUAUCCGGAAUUAUUGGGCGUAAAGAGCUCGUAGGCGGUUUGUCGCGUCUGCCGUGAAAGUCCGGGGCUCAACUCCGGAUCUGCGGUGGGUACGGGCAGACUAGAGUGAUGUAGGGGAGACUGGAAUUCCUGGUGUAGCGGUGAAAUGCGCAGAUAUCAGGAGGAACACCGAUGGCGAAGGCAGGUCUCUGGGCAUUAACUGACGCUGAGGAGCGAAAGCAUGGGGAGCGAACAGGAUUAGAUACCCUGGUAGUCCAUGCCGUANACGUUGGGCACUAGGUGUGGGGNACAUUCCACGUUUUCCGCGCCGUAGCUAACGCAUUAAGUGCCCCGCCUGGGGAGUACGGCC
rnacentral:rRNA from 1 species